AAGCAACACUCUGGCAGAUGAAGAAAACUGCUAAACCCAAUUUGAACUUUCUAGAACAAGAAAGUCUAACUGAUGCUAAUGUCCUCAUCCCAUGAGACAAGCCAAUACAUAGGCUCAAACAAC
rnacentral:snoRNA from 1 species